AUGUACAUGCCUACAACAUAGCGUUAAUGCACUGGAUCCUAUUAGAAAUAUGAAAUUAAGUGCGCUCAGGCUAGAGUAGUACUGGUAUCGGUGACCACUUGGGAAGUCUUAGUAUUUUACAUU
rfam:Picea glauca, whole genome shotgun sequence.